rnacentral:rRNA from 1 species
AUACGUAGGGGGCGAGCGUUAUCCGGAAUUAUUGGGCGUAAAGAGUGCGUAGGUGGUUACCUAAGCAGGGGGUGAAAGGCACUGGCCUAACCAAUGUCAGCCCCCUGAACUGGGCUACUUGAGUGCAGGAGAGGGAGGUGGAAUUCCUAGUGUAGCGGUGAAAUGCGUAGAUAUUAGGAGGAACACCGGCGGCGAAGGCGACUUUCUGGACUGUUACUGACACUGAGGCACGAAAGUGUGGGGAGCAAACAGGAUUAGAUACCCUGGUAGUCCACACCGUAAACGAUGAGCACUAGGUGUCGGGUAAGCAAUUACUCGGUGCCGCAGUUAACGCAUUAAGUGCUCCGCCUGGGGAGUACGUACGCAAGUAUGAAACUCAAAGGAAUUGACGGGG